rnacentral:rRNA from 1 species
CCUACGGGAGGCAGCAGUAGGGAAUUUUCGGCAAUGGGGGGAACCCUGACCGAGCAACGCCGCGUGAACGAAGAAGUUAUUCGUAUUGUAAAGUUCUUUUAUCAGGGAAGAAAGAGAAAUUUGACGGUACCUGAAGAAUAAGCUCCGGCUAACUACGUGCCAGCAGCCGCCGUAAUACGGAGGGAGCGAGCGUUAUCCGGAAUUAUGGGACGAAAGGGGUGCGUAGAGGGCAUAGUAAGUCUUUUGUAAAAAUGCUGGGCUAAACCCAGUAGGGCAAAAGAUACUGCAAAGCUAGAGUAUGACAGAGGAAAGUGGAACUACAUGUGUAGCGGUAAAAUGCGUAAAUAUAUGUAGGAACACCAGUGGCGAAGGCGGCUUGCUGGGUCGAUACUGACAUUGAGGCACGAAAGCGUGGGGAGCAAACAGGAUUAGAUACCCCUGUAGUC